rnacentral:sRNA from 1 species
GCUACCAGGUACCGUGAGCAAUCACUGGAGCUGGAACACUGCUGCCUGAGGAAGAGAAGAAGUGCAGGCUUGUCAUUGUCUAUGCUGUUACUUGUGGUUCCCGGGUCUUCAGAGAGGAUGCACAAGAACGGGAGAACCGGCCCCUGGGAUUUGCUGCUCAGGACCCGAGUUCACUGAGACAUCAGGAGCAAGCACUGGAGGCCGGUGCUGCUGGACCCAGAUGGGCGCCAUGCAGGACUUGACCAUGGCCUGCACACACUUCUUCCCAGGAGAAGGGGAGUGAGGAAGGUGGGGGCCUCAAGGCUUCCUUUCCUCUCUUUUUGGCUUGUUAUGCUUUUAUAUUUCUUUUUAUCCAUAUGAUUAUUUAGUACAAAAGCAGGUCCAGCCUCCUUACAUAUGGCAUUGAUAUAAAAUGCAAAACAGAAGCUAAAUUCUAGGAAUACAGCAUUGCAAGCUUCUGACACAGACAAGGAAGGCUAGAACUGCACAGUUAGUGGACACUACCUCUGUAUUGACAUUUUUUUCAGUCUGUGAAGGCGGGGACAGAGAGCUGCAGCCAGGACACCUUCCCUGCUCUGGGGCAACACUGCCAUCAUGGGAAAAUGUUUUCUGUAGACCAGCUGANGCACACACCCCUCCUCCAUCCUGCUUCUCCUCAGCCAUUUUGAAGCANGGAGGAUGAGGGGGAUUCAUGAAUGGCGAAGCUUGCCCAUCUUACUGUAUUUCUCUCCUACUGUGGGCAGACUGGCAUCACCCGACCCUUCAGAGUAUUAAUGCAGACCUUCGUGACAGAGGUCCAGUACCAAGUGCGCAGCUGUGCUGAGGUCCAGGGACAGAAAGCAGAUGGGCAGAUUCAACCCCCCUCAGCUGGCCAUGCUAAUCUACUAGCUGGUGUCYUAGGGCAGCAGGGUGCCUCCCUCNNCAGGUUCUGAUGAGAAAACACUGCAGUCCCAGUUUCUUUCGGGGCUUGAAGAGAAGUCAAGGAAGCCCUGCAAGGCACUCACAGCUGAUCAUGCUGUCUGUAAUUGGCUGCCAUCUUCUGCCAUUGCUAGGAAUCAUGGGAAGGAGGACAUGUGGUGCUGUGACUUCUGAAACUAUUUUCCUCAUGAUGGCAGUUGUGCUCCACAAAAGAUCUUUUGAUUGUUUCCCCCCCCUCCCCGCUUCCUGUGUGAAAAAUUAUCAAGGAGAAUAUAGGUACCAAGGAAGAUUGGUUCGGUGAACUUUGCCUGUCCUCGAAUCGGUUCAGGGAUGGUUUGUUUUGUUUUUUGUUUUUGUUUUUUUGUUUUCUUGUUUUCCUUCUGAAGUCAUUCUGAGUCCUCAUUCUACCCUAGGUUGUAGGCCAUUUCCUUUUCUACAGCUGUUCAUACUCACCCUUUUUAGCUACUUAAUUUUGCUCUUGAUUGUCUAGUCUUAUUCAUUGGUUACAAUUUUCACACAGGAAAGGUAGUCUAGGAGCUUCGAAAGGAAAGCUUUUUUCAUGCAGGGUGAUUGGUAUUGCUGAGGGCUAACAACCCUUGCCUACCGUAUCCUAGAGCCUGGGUUUGCUCCCCAGGACUGAAAUGGGCACUGUUACC